UACGUAGGGGGCAAGCGUUGUCCGGAUUUAUUGGGCGUAAAGAGCGUGUAGGCGGCUAUACAGGUCCGUUGUGAAAACUCGAGGCUCAACCUCGAGACGCCGAUGGAAACCGUAUGGCUAGAGUCCGGAGGAGGAGAGCGGAAUUCCUGGUGUAGCGGUGAAAUGCGCAGAUAUCAGGAAGAGCACCCGUGGCGAAGGCGGCUCUCUGGGACGGUACUGACGCUGAGACGCGAAAGCGUGGGGAGCGAACAGG
rnacentral:rRNA from 1 species